rnacentral:sRNA from 1 species
UGUCUAAGAAUUUUAUGAGUCUAUGGU